rnacentral:lncRNA from 1 species
CUGAGGGAGAAAUCAUCGUCACUGGAGAGGGACUGGGAAUGACUCAGCUCAACCUCAUGUGGUGUUCACUUAUGGCAACAGGGACCGUCAGCAUCGCAGGGAGCCCCAGGGAGCCAGCAAUGCCGUGGGUGCUCCAGCAGCUCUGGAACGUGGGUGCCCAGUUCAUUGUUUCUUUGCACUCAGGUCAAGCCAGUUCUUGAAUCAUCUCUCAUAUAUUAACUGCAUUUUGUAGAAGUUCUUCAAUCAAGGUUUCAGGCAUGUGGAUCUGGGCCCACUCCCUGGUAUAGUAAUGUGGUAAACUUAUUAUUUUAUUCAGAGCAAAAUCUAUCCUGCUAAAAAAAAGACCUAUUUUUCUUAGGAGAUAUUUUAGUCCAUGUUCCAUAGGAAAUAGAUCCUGAGACAGUGUUCAUUUGGCAAUGCUUUGUUGGAGGAUGCAAUCCCAGGUCACAAGAGUGAGGGAGAAAAGAAACAAAGCAGAGAAGGAAGGAAAGCAAGUGCAGCUCUGCAUCAUUGAGUGAGCCACAGCUGCAAAAUGAAGCACAGCAAGUCAAUGAUGCAGAGUGUAUGUCUGCAGAGGGGUGAUGUAGAAGAGUCCAGCAGGAGAACAAGGUCAUUAGCAACGUCUACGUUAUCUCCAGUAUGUUUCAAAGUGGAUUUAUUUGGGUCAGGGGCAUUGGUGAAAGCGCGGAGUUUGGCCUCAGAGUGGCCACACAGCAAGCUGAGGUGCCUGCCCCCUCCCCCUCUGGAAGCUAUUGGAUUCUUGAUUUUAAACAAUAGAAAUUAACUCUUGAUGACUUCACUGGAAAAGGAAUCUGGAAGAUCCUGGGAUCUGCAUGUUAGAAAAUGGGCAGGAACCAAGGCAGUGCCCACAGAUCAACCCACAGGAAGAUCCACAUUGGUUUGUAAUAGGAAGCAUCUGCCUGGAUGCCUCCACUGCCACCACCAGGAAUGAAUCAGUCACCUUGGGGCUUUGCCUUGCUCCCCGCAGAGGGACAAUUCAAGGAGCUCAGCCACGGGUACACAUCCUGCUUGCAGAGGGAAGCAAGGGAAGCAACCUCUUUCAGCUAAUGGUCCAUGGGUGAAGAGGGGGGGUUGCUUCUUGUAAUUCCACGUGGAGAGGCAGAGAUUGUGUUGGAAAACACAGUUAACAGAACAGUCUGUUAAAUAAGCAGACUCUAGGAUCAGAUGGCCUGGAUUUGCAGCCAACAUCUGCCAUUUGCUUGCCAAGUGUGCUUAGGAAAGUCACUUGAACUCUCUGUUUCUCAGUUUCCUUGCUUAGGAAAUGGGACAAAAUUAAUCCUUAGCUUCAAGUAUCCUUAUAAAAUGAAAUGGUUAGAGCUCUCAUUU